GGUUUCGUAGUGUAGUGGUUAUCACGUUCGCCUCACACGCAAAAGGUCCCCGCUUCGAACCCAGGCGGAAUCA